UUCAACCCUCAAGCUUAGCUUGGUAUUGAGUCUAUGUCAGUAAUGGCAGGCUCUAAAAUCAGUGGCGGCGCCGCUGGGUCCUGAACGUAGUAAUAUCUCUCGUUACAGGUUCUCGGUGUGCUUCUGCCAAAACCCAAAUUUUUCUAUGG
rnacentral:misc_RNA from 1 species